rnacentral:rRNA from 1 species
CCUGGUAGCGGGGGAGUAACUAUUGGAAACGAUAGCUAAUACCGCAUGAAAUUGCUUAUCGCAUGAUAAUUAAUUGAAAGAUGCAAUUGCAUCACUACCAGAUGGACCUGCGUUGUAUUAGCUAGUUGGUGAGGUAACGGCUCACCAAGGCGACGAUACAUAGCCGACCUGAGAGGGUGAUCGGCCACACUGGGACUGAGACACGGCCCAG